UUAGUGGCGCAGCUAACGCAUUAAGUCGACCGCCUGGGGAGUACGGCCGCAAGGUUAAAACUCAAAGGAAUUGACGGGGACCCGCACAAGCGGUGGAUGAUGUGGUUUAAUUCGAUGCAACGCGAAAAACCUUACCCACCUUUGACAUGGCAGGAAUCCUUUAGAGAUAGAGGAGUGCUCGAAAGGGAACCUGCACACAGGUGCUGCAUGGCUGUCGUCAGCUCGUGUCGUGAGAUGUUGGGUUAAGUCCCGCAACGAGCGCAACCCUUGUCAUUAGUUGCUACGAAAGGGCACUCUAAUGAGACUGCCGGUGACAAACCGGAGGAAGGUGGGGAUGACGUCAAGUCCUCAUGGCCCUUAUAGGUGGGGCUACACACGUCAUACAAUGGCCGGUACAAAGGGCAGCCAACCCGCGAGGGGGAGCCAAUCCCAUAAAGCCGGUCGUAGUCCGGAUCGCAGUCUGCAACUCGACUGCGUGAAGUCGGAAUCGCUAGUAAUCGUGGAUCAGCAUGUCACGGUGAAUACGUUCCCGGGUCUUGUACACACCGCCCGUCACACCAUGGGAGCGGGUCUCGCCAGAAGUAGUUAGCCUAACCGCAAGGAGGGCGAUUACCACGGCGGGGUUCGUGACUGGGGUGAAGUCGUAACAAGGUAACCA
rnacentral:rRNA from 1 species